CCUCUAGUGGCGUAGUUGGUUAACGCGCGGUACUUAUAAUGCCGAGACCGCCAGUUCGAGCCUGGCCUAGAGGA